UACGUAGGCAGCGAGCGUUGUUCGGAAUUACUGGGCGUAAAGAGUGUGUAGGCGGUGCUCUAAGUUCGGUGUGAAAUCUCCUGGCUUAACUGGGAGGGUGCGCCGGAAACUGGAGUGCUUGAGCGUGGGAGAGGAAAGUGGAAUUCCUGGUGUAGCGGUGAAAUGCGUAGAUAUCAGGAGGAACACCUGUGGUGUAGACGGCUUUCUGGACCAUAGCUGACGCUGAGACACGAAAGCGUGGGUAGCAAACAGG
rnacentral:rRNA from 1 species